UUAAAUUGAAGAGUUUGAUCAUGGCUCAGAUUGAACGCUGGCGGCAGGCCUAACACAUGCAAGUCGAGCGGAAACGAGUUAUCUGAACCUUCGGGGGACGAUAACGGCGUCGAGCGGCGGACGGGU
rnacentral:rRNA from 1 species